rfam:Schistosoma haematobium scaffold1343_5, whole genome shotgun sequence.
AUCCACCUGAUGGGUCUCAAACGGGACGAAACGCACGUCUUGGAU